UAGGGGGAGGGAGGUGGCAUGGCUGGUAGUAUGGUAAUGACUGCCCAUAACUGCCAGACAUGCCGCUUUCCUCACCCUACA
ncrna:Eptesicus fuscus (big brown bat) microRNA efu-mir-9186o precursor (efu-mir-9186o-2)